GCGGUCAUACAUUCUAUCGACCGCUGUAAAUACAGUAAAACAAGUUCAGUCAGGCGCUAGUCUUCUUUUUUGAUAGAUGGACAUUUCAUACAGAUCAAUAUUUUUUUUAUUAAACUGGACAGUGCGUUAUAGAUUAAAUUAGGAGUAAAUAUAUCAUUCAUUUAUAUAAAUCUAAGUGGCGUAAAGAUGGAAUGUUUACCUUCAUUUUCCCGGAAUAUAUCCGUAAGACUAUCAGAGGUGAUGGACGCACUUGGACUCGAUAUGGAGACAGUAUUGAAGAAAAGACGGAUAUACCUCAUGACAGAGAAAAUGUGGACAGAUUUGAGUACAGGGCAUAGUGUAACAGUCCAUCAUUUUGGCAGUCAAACGGAAGGUACAACCGUGACGACAUUGGGGCUGAACUCUGACCUUGAUUCUCUAACCUGUUUCGAUGCUAUAAAUGUCGUUAGGUCGAUCAGAGAGUGGAGUAGAGGUAGCCUUAAUCUGAUUAAUGAGAUUGACGAAAACUCAGCACCAGGGUACUGCAGAUUGCGUUGCCUUAAGAAUGACGAAGCAGAUUUUGAAUCCGCACAGUUUCUGAUGAAAGUCAUAUCUAUGACGGCGCCAGCGUGUAUCUUAAAAACACGUAUAUACUUAAAAUCACUGAACGAAUAUGUAUUCAAAACCAAUACCCUUUCAUCAAAAAGGGACCAUCAGGAAGUGGAACGGAUAAAAUAGAUUUUGUCACGGCGUUCAGAUACAGAGGUAAGAGAGAUAGUGUUCUUCAGUCCGAACAUACUAGUAUGCGUUUCUGGCCAUCCAGAGAACUACGAGAAGAGGCAUUUUCUAGUGACAGUUUUAUUGUGCCAGUCGGACAUCCUAAAUCUGAUUGCGAGAGUGCUGAAUGGAGAAUAUCAUCCUCAUUGACCGAAAGAAUACUCAUGUUCAGCCUAAAUGAAACACAACUGAAAUCGUAUGUCUUAAUUAAAAUGCUGAAAGAAACACUUUUCAAGCCACGUGUCGGUGAAGCAAUAACAAGCUACCACUGCAAAAAUUCUUUAUUUUUCGCGAUUGCAAACACAGACAAUGACUUUUGGAAACCGCAUAACCUGUUUGCAUGUAUUUGUUUUAUCCUGAAUACAUUGUCAUCAUUUUAUAGAUGUCGGUAUUUGCCACAGUUCGUAAAUCCUAUGGUCAAUCUGUUAGAUGGAAAAGCAGCACAUGACGAUUGCUUGAAAAUAACUGAAUUAAUUGAAACUGUCAUUGAUAACGAAUUAAGAGCACUCUUAAAUGUUACCUUUGACGACAUUGGGAGUCUUUUGGCAGGGAAAUGCUCACCAAUGGUACAUAUUUGUAGUAACAGUGACCCUUGGUGGCCAACAACGUACGAAUAACAUCUUGGUAUUACCACUAUUGAUGGAAAGGCGUGGAAAAAUUGGCUUUUACUUCAUUUCGUGUUUGUUUCUGAGUUCACUAAAGAGUCUGGAAGCUAUAUAGCUAAAUACAUCAUAGAACUUCAUCAUAACGGUUUCCGUGUCUUCAGUAAAGAGCCAGAGACGCACUCGAGCCUGGAACUGGUAGAGAAGUACACAAAGGUCAAACGGAAGAUUCCACAGUCAGUAAAACUGCUAUUUAAACAGAUUAUUGGCACAAAGGGACUGGGAAUUAAUACAGAUGAGAUAGGGAAAAGGCCGGAGAGACAUUUGAUAACGCGAGAGAUGACACAGUUCUAUGUGAAACCUGUAUCUGAGAUCACCGAUUACGAAUGAGACCUAGAAAAGCUUUGGAUAAGCUUUACUAAUGAUUUCACGUAGUCUUCGUUGCGAGGUGAACAUUUUUCAAGAAAGUAGUUGUCCAUAAAGCAAUACUUGGAACUAAAUAUAAUUGUCUGAAACACCAUUGACAGGUUCAAAGGGGAAAUCUACGAAACGUCAAAGACCUACAUGUCUAUUGUAAUUAAGACACAGAACAUGCCAGAUUAAGAAUGGUUUUGGCAAGAUAAAUAAAGGUCUCCUUAUAUAUACUUAAUUUAUAACGAAAACAAAUAAGACAUAAUCAUCUGAACAUGACUAAACAUUGCAUAACUGACGCAGAUGUUUCUAUGAACUCUUUUUCACAGGAAAAAUGGCUUUUAACACUUCGAUUUUAAAGUGCAGUAUCAAGGCAGAUAUGAUACUAUACCAUAGGACAAAACGUCACAUUUAUGAAUAGGUGUUAUGGUAUAUCAAAGAGAAUGGAUAUGUAAAUCUGUAAUUAUUUUGUUCUUCAGUGCUAUGCAUUAAAGAGACAUACAUAUAUAAAGCUGAUAGCAAUAACUAUUCUGAAUCAUAAUUGUUGGGUUAUGCUAAUUUUGAAAAUUAUGUGUAACAAGCUUAUCAUAGGUUUAUCACACAAUUGCAACUUUUAGAUUAUAUGACUUAAAAGUUUGAUAAGUUUGAUAAGUUUAUUUCAAAUUUUCCUUUAGGCCAACUGGCCCAUGAGGUUUACAAGCAUGAAAAUGGCGAGACAAUUAUUUAAACGGAGAAGGUUGUUAACAUUCAAUUUUCUGAGAAAUAGCACAUUCUAAUAUUACAACAUUAGAAUUACAAAAAAUUAUACAUAAAUAACCAUAUAGACAGUAUAUACAUAUACAAGUUUAGACAAACGACAAAUUAUUUAUCAUUUUACUGGUGCAAUUUAUGUUUAAAGCAUGUACAGCUUAUUAUACACAAAACAACAAGAAGAAUGCAAGACAGUUUGAAUAAUUGAUACAAAUAUAUUGCAACGCAAAACAUUAUCCUAUGUUUAAUGUCCAUGCUAUGUUGAGCUUGACGAAACGAAAUACAAGGUCAACAGCUGGAUCUCAGAAAUGAAAGAUUACUUAAAAUAAAACACUUUUUAAAGGUGCAAAAUAAAGACAAGUGAAUAGACAUAAAUCUUAAAACAAGACAACACAUUUUGAAAUAUACUAUAAACAUUACGAUAACCGUGCAAUAUUCCGUUGAAAUCAACACAUGUACAGAGAAACAAAUGGUUGUUUCUGUAUUUUCUUAGACUGUCACGGGUGGUCAUUUUGUCCUACUUUCGUGUUUAUCACUUUUCCGUAAUCGGUCGGAAAUUCUUCGGGAUCACGUGAUUUUGAAAUUAAUUGAAACGAAUAUCCGUUUAAAGACGCGCGACAAAAUAACUGUAUUUCCAUGAUGGUAAUUAUACACGAUUUGUAUGAAAAAUAUGAGAUGUACAAAUUUUUAGUUUCAAAUUGACAGUGACAAAUAUUAG